CAGCAAAUUUCCUUAGUAUUCCUUUGAAUUUUGCGUUCAAGUCAUUAAUUAAGAUGUUGAAGAGGACAGGGCCUAAGAUGGAGGCCUGUGGAACCCCACUAGCAACCGUUUGCCAGCCUGAUGUCACCGUAACUCUUUGUGACCAAUCUGUGAGCCAGUUGCUCACCCACUGCAUAACACGGUUAUCCAGUUGUAUACCGGACAUUUUGCCCAGAAGGAUACUGUGAGAGACAGUAUGAAAAGCUUUGCUGAAGUCCAAAAAGAUGACAUCUGCUGGCUUUCCUAGAUCAAGCAGGAAGUGCAAGUCAUCUCAACUACAAUGCUACAAAAGUAAAAAAAAAGCAUAACCAAGAAGCAAUUUUAAAGAAUACUUAUCCACAAUACCUUUCCAUUGCUGUUGAAGAAGAAAGAAAGUAAAAUAAAGGAAUAGUUACUGUGAAA